GAAGAAGCAAAAGAGCCUAUCUUGCUCAUUCUUCUACCCAUCUUCUGGGUCAUUAAGAGGGAGGAAUAAGAUAGCAUUUGACGGCGUUUGUUCCUCUUUCCUAUAUUCUCUUAUAGUUUUUUUGUUCAACUACUGUCCUUUUUUCUUUCAGGAAGACUUGGGGAACGUGCUUGAUGUAAUGAAUCGCUGAAUAUGUAAGAUGCAUGGACUUCCUACUAUUUACAGCAAAAAUUGGUUCAUUUAAAAGAGUCGGAAAUUAGAAAGUUUUCCUUUUGUAUAAUUACAUAACAAAGAAUACUCAGCAAAUGGUAUUCAACAACAAAUGAGACACUCGAGGAACUACAAGAUGAGGAGCUUCCGGUUCCUGGAUCUUGAUUGCCAUCUUUCGAGUGAUCUCCAUUUCCUGGACAAACCUUUGAUGCCUGCUUGGCAGCUGCAAAUUGGAAUCAUACAAACAGAGUUAGGUCCUUUAACUUCUUUUUUCGAGAAAAAAAUUUAGUUAAAUUUAUGAAAUCCAUGCAGUAUGCUAGAUCUUGUUAUUAAACGAGAGUCUAUUCACCUUGCUUCCUCUCGUCCCUCUUAAUCUGUUGGUAAGUCCUGAGGUAAAUGUUUAUUACCUCCGCAGCCUAUAGGUAGAAAAAUCAGUAAAAGAUAGUGAAUCCGAUAAGACAAGAUGAGCAGGAAAAA